rnacentral:rRNA from 1 species
UACGUAGGGUGCAAGCGUUAAUCGGAAUUACUGGCGUAAAGCGUGCGCAGGCGGCUAUGCAAGACAGAUGUGAAAUCCCCGGGCUCAACCUGGGAACUGCAUUUGUGACUGCAUGGCUAGAGUACGGUAGAGGGGGAUGGAAUUCCGCGUGUAGCAGGUGAAAUGCGUAGAUAUGCGGAGGAACACCGGAUGGCGAAGGCAAUCCCCCUGGACCUGUACUGACGCUCAUGCACGAAAGC